AUGCUCGGUGCGCCCCUCGCCGCUGCCGCCCUCUCGCUGCUACUUGCCCCUAGGAGCCGCCGUGUAAGUCGGGGAAGGAGAGAAUGACCGAGGUGCGGUGGCCGGCUGUCCCCAACGGGACGGACGCUACCUUCCUGGCUGGCCAGGGUUUGCCCUGGGGGAACAGCACCGCAGCCUCCACCGCUGCUGUCGCAGCAGCCUCGUUCGCAUGCUCGCUGACCAAGACGGGCUUCCAGUUCUACUACCUGCCGGCUGUCUACAUCUUGGUGUUCAUUAUCGGCUUCUUGGGCAACAGCGUGGCGAUCUGGAUGUUCGUCUUCCACAUGAAGCCGUGGAGCGGCAUCUCCGUGUACAUGUUCAACUUGGCCCUGGCCGACUUCUUGUACGUGCUGACUCUGCCCGCCCUCAUCUUCUACUACUUCAAUAAGACGGACUGGAUCUUUGGGGAUGCCAUGUGCAAGCUGCAGAGGUUCAUCUUCCAUGUGAACCUCUAUGGCAGCAUCCUGUUCCUAACCUGCAUCAGCGCGCACCGGUACAGCGGCGUGGUGUACCCGCUCAAGUCUCUGGGCCGGCUCAAGAAGAAGAACGCAGUCUAUAUCAGCGUGCUGGUGUGGCUCAUCGUGGUGGUGGGCAUCUCCCCCAUCCUCUUCUACUCAGGCACCCAGGUCCGGAAAAACAAAACCAUCACCUGCUACGACACCACCUCCGACGAGUACCUGCGGAGUUAUUUCAUCUACAGCAUGUGCACAACCGUGGCCAUGUUCUGUGUCCCCUUGGUAUUGAUUCUGGGCUGUUACGGAUUAAUUGUGAGGGCUUUGAUCUACAACGAUCUGGACAACUCUCCUCUGAGGAGGAAAUCCAUUUACCUGGUGAUUAUUGUACUGACUGUCUUUGCUGUCUCUUACAUCCCUUUCCAUGUGAUGAAAACAAUGAAUUUGAGGGCCCGGCUGGAUUUUCAGACCCCAGAAAUGUGUGCUUUCAAUGACAGGGUUUAUGCCACUUAUCAGGUGACAAGAGGUCUAGCAAGUCUCAACAGUUGUGUGGACCCCAUUCUCUAUUUCUUGGCAGGAGAUACUUUCAGGAGGAGACUCUCCAGAGCCACUAGGAAAGCUUCCAGAAGAAGUGAGGCAAAUUUGCAGUCCAAGAGUGAAGACAUGACCCUCAAUAUUUUAUCUGAAUUCAAGCAGAAUGGAGAUACAAGCUUGUGAGGAUGCAAGAAUCACCGAACACUCACUUUUGUAACAUGCCAUUGAAAUGGUCAAAUUCUAAGGAUGUAGAAUAAUAAGGUCUCAGGAUGCCUGCCUGGUUUACCAUACAUGUUACAUACAUUGUGUUUCAGCUCCCAGAGAACUUUCUUUUGGACUGUGGAUCCAGUGAAGUGGACAGUGCCCAGAAAUGCCCUUUUACUUCUUGGCAUGUUUUUUUCCAGUGUUUCUUCUUCAUACAUCAUGUUGUGGACAAUUACAACGUGUGAAUACAUGCCAAAUAGUAACAAGAAUGAUCUUGCCCAACCCCUUCUAGGCACAAAGAGGUCUCCAGGAAAAGUUUGUGCUAAUGGUAAAAACACACAGAGAGUCAAGAUGAAGCAGUGAUCUAUUGGCUGGAAAUCUGAUGACAUGUGAUGAUGUAAGUAGGUAUUUUAAUAGUAAAGGCAGAAAUCUGUUGGCAUUUUGAUGAAAAAACUGCUAAAAUUAUAGAAUUUAUCAGUUAACUAAAUUUCACACUACAAAAUGAUUCUCAUGCCAAGUUUAAGGUAUUUUUGGCUCACCAAUUGGUGUCUUUGACUCUUUAAACAUCACUAUGCAUUUGCAUGGAAAUGAUAUAAACACAAACCAAGAAGAGAUACAGCAGAGGUUAGGAUUCAGCAUUAAAAACACGACCUUGCCACUUGGCCAACUGUGGAACUCUGACUCUUUCAACACCAUUCUCCAUGUAUUAAAAAGGUUAGAUGACCUCCAUCUGUUGGGACCUCAGGGGAUGUGGUAGAACAUUAAAACUACAGCCAGCCAGAGGUGCAUGAAAUCUGCUACUGUACUUUCCAGGACUCUUCCAUUGCAGUCCUGGGCUAGAAAUUCUUACAAAGUUCACCAAUUAUGAUUUGGAUCUAUGACCUAUAAGUUUUCUCAAUCUACUCGGACAGUACAGUAAACUGCUUUUGAAUACAAGAGAUGUCUGUGCUUACAGCGGCUGGAAUUGGACUAGGGAAAAUGAAGAUAUGUACGUAGUUAGGGAUCUCCUGAAGCUUUAACUUAGCUGGUCAUUUUAUAACUAACAUAAUCGUAUUUAUUGACGAAGCUCACAAUUCUUCAGUUGUACAGAUUAAAAGGCUUUCUUGAAAGAUCAAAUAUGCUGAUGUAAAUUAUAUUUAUUACAAUGUAUAAUAUGUCACACUAGUGUAUUUUAUGUAAUGUGAUGCGUAGAUAAAAUGAGUUAUUGUAUAUUUUGCUUUUCAAAUACCAGUAUCUUGAAAUGUUUGAAGAUUUUUUUGAUCUAAAAUAUGAAUGUUUUGUGAUACAAGUGGUUAAUUUUCUCUAGAAGUGCUUUUGCAUGUUUACCUUUUUACUUAGGGUUCUCUAUAUAGACACACUGUGGUGUCAAACUAUCAUAAGCUCAAUAGUAAAUACAAAAUGUCUUUGCCAGACUAGGUCUGUGUUGUCUAUAUUUUAUAUGACGUAGAAAAGUUUAUAUUGUCUUUUCAAGACCUUUAGAAUUGUGCCCCCAAAUAUGGUUGAAACUUCCAAUUCCAAUGCGAAAGGUUGUCCUAAAUUCAAAUUAGAUCCCUUACAUUUUAGAAGUCUGGAGGGAUGGGCAUAAUAGAUAGAUUAGAAUUUGAGGAAAAACAAGGGGGGAUGGGGGAGAGAGAAAAGAGGCAGCUGAUAAAAUCCCUUACUGUCCUCAGUUCUGCUUACAUUUUUGUGUUGUGUUUCUUCUUAAGGUGAAAGAACACAAUCUUGAGUUCUUUGAGAUGUAGUUUCUAAGUAACACGCUACCAGCAAGUUCAACACUGCUAUUUUAAUGUUCUUGUUGUUUAGUUGGUAACUUUAACUUCAAGUUUUAUAGUGAUAACUGUAAAUGAUUUGGCUGCUGAACUCUGUUACAAUUUUUAUUAUGUCGUACAUUGUAUUAUACACAUCAUUACAAAUUAAUAUGAAGGGGAAUACAUGUUACAUAUCAAAAUUUGUGACUUUGACUUCUAGUAUGUUUAGUGUUUUUGCAAAAAUGUUUAUUUUUGUAUUAUCUGUGAUUUUAAUAUAGUUGAACUAGAUUUCUUUGUGAUUAACAGUUUCAUUGAAUGAGCAGUAUGGAAACAGUGUUACUUGACAUUUUGAGCCUUCUCAGGUUUAUCUAAAUCAUUGGUAGCUUAACAAAUUCCAGACUUAUUGUAUAUAAUUGUUUUUAAUAAAAGGAAUGUGUAUUUCCUCUAAGUUUGCAUGCAGGAGUGUAUAAUAUCGUGUGUUUGUAUGUGUGUGUGUCCAAGGCAUGUGGCCAAUUUACUAUCUAUUUAUAAUAGGAGAGCUUUGAUAUGAUCAUGAUCAUCAGAAUUGUACCUACUAUAGACAAUUAAAACUGAAAAAGUCUCAAUAAAACUAUGAAAUGUGA